rnacentral:rRNA from 1 species
GUGGGGAAUAUUGGACAAUGGGCGAAAGCCUGAUCCAGCCAUGCCGCGUGUGUGAAGAAGGUCUUCGGAUUGUAAAGCACUUUAAGUUGGGAGGAAGGGCAGUAAGUUAAUACCUUGCUGUUUUGACGUUACCGACAGAAUAAGCACCGGCUAACUUCGUACCAGCAGCCGCGGUAAUACGAAGGGUGCAAGCGUUAAUCGGAAUUACUGGGCGUAAAGCGCGCGUAGGUGGUUUUGUAAGUUGGAGGUGAAAUCCCCGGGCUCAACCUGGGAACUGCCUCCAAAACUGCAUGACUAGAGUACGGUAGAGGGUAGUGGAAUUUCCUGUGUAGCGGUGAAAUGCGUAGAUAUAGGAAGGAACACCAGUGGCGAAGGCGACUACCUGGACUGAUACUGACACUGAGGUGCGAAAGCGUGGGGAGCAAACAGGAUUAGAAACCCUGGUAGUCC